rnacentral:rRNA from 1 species
GACGAACGCUGGCGGCGUGCUUAACACAUGCAAGUCGAACGGGGCUCAUCGCUUCGGUGGUGGGUCUAGUGGCGAACGGGUGAGUAACACGUGGGCAACCUGCCCCCGGCUCUGGGAUAACCCCAAGAAAUUGGGGCUAAUACCGGAUGUGACCGCUGGCCGCAUGGUCUGGUGGUGGAAAGGGUUUCCGGCUGGGGAUGGGCCCGCGGCCUAUCAGCUUGUUGGUGGGGUAGUGGCCUACCAAGGCGACGACGGGUAGCCGGCCUGAGAGGGUGACCGGCCACACUGGGACUGAGACACGGCCCAGACUCCUACGGGAGGCAGAAGUGGGGAAUAUUGCGCAAUGGGCGGAAGCCUGACGCGGCGACGCCGCGUGGGGGAUGACGGCCUUCGGGUUGUAAACCUCUUUCAGCAGGGACGAAGCCGCGAGGUGACGGUACCUGCAGAAGAAGCACCGGCCAACUACGUGCCAGCCGCCGCAGUAA